UGGGGAUGACGUCAAGUCCCUCAUCGGCCCUUAUAGGGUGGGCUACACACGUCAUACAAUGGCUGGUAACGAAAGGGUUGCCCAACCCGCGAGGGGGAGCCAAUCCCAUAAAGCCAGUCGUAGUCCGGAUCGUAGUCUGCAACUCGACUACGUGAAGUCGGAAUCGCUAGUAAUCGUGGAUCAGAAUGUCACGGUGAAUACGUUCCUGGGUCUU
rnacentral:rRNA from 1 species